rnacentral:rRNA from 1 species
ACGUAGGUGGCGAGCGUUGUCCGGAAUUACUGGGCGUAAAGGGAGCGUAGGCGGGGGAUCAAGUUGAAUGUCAAAUCUAUCGGCUCAACCGAUAGACGCGUUCGAAACUGGUUUUCGUGAGUGAAGUAGAGGCGGGUAGAAUUCCAGGUGUAGCGGUGAAAUGCGUAGAGAUCAGGAGGAAGACCAGUGGCGAAGGCGGCCCGCUGGACUAGAACUGACGCUCAGGUGCGAAAGCGUGGGGAGCAAACAG